rnacentral:rRNA from 1 species
GAACGAACGUUAGCGGCGUGCCUAACACAUGCAAGUCGCACGAGAAAGGGCUUCGGCCCCGGUAAAGUGGCGCACGGGUGAGUAACACGUAGGUAACCUACCCUCGAGUGGGGGAUAACCCUCCGAAAGGAGAGCUAAUACCGCAUGAGACCACGGCUCCCUCGGGAGCUGAGGUCAAAGCGGGCCUCUGCUUGCAAGCUCGCGCUUGAGGAUGGGCCUGCGGCCUAUCAGCUAGUUGGUGGGGUAAAAGCCCACCAAGGCAGAGACGGGUAGCUGGUCUGAGAGGAUGAACAGCCACACUGGAACUGAGACACGGUCCAGACUCCUACGGGAGGCAGCAGUGGGGAAUCUUGCGCAAUGGGCGAAAGCCUGACGCAGCGACGCCGCGUGAGUGAUGAAGGCCUUCGGGUUGUAAAGCUCUGUGGAGAGGGAAGAAUAAGGGCGAGCUAAUACCUCGUUCGAUGACGGUACCUCUUUAGCAAGCACCGGCUAACUCUGUGCCAGCAGCCGCGGUAA